ACUCACCCAGCUGGUUGGAGAGCGGCAGUGUGAAAGUGGACUGCUUCAGUGGGGCUUCCAGCAAGGCCCUGGGGCGGGACCCCCUCCCUGGAGGCUCCCUGUCCGGCUGCGGGAUAGGCAGGUGGCAGAACUUCCCGGUGGAGUUGGCGGGGCACCAGCAUUCGUCCCUGCCGAUGCAGCGGCCUCCGUUCAGGCAGGGGAUCUGGCAGAAAUCUGCAACAUCAACCCUCAAGUCUCAGGUUGUGGGACAUCAAGAGAAGGGUCUGGUGCCAUGUUUGCCCCAGGCUGGUCCAAAGAAGCAGUAUCCCCCCGAUUAAGGACAGUAGAGGUCUGGUAACAGAAGAAGGCAAGUCUCAAUGAGAAGGUGACCACAGCCCCCAGGAGAUGCUCCAUCUACUAUCAGCCUUGGAAGAACCGCUGCAAUUUCAUCAAAGGACAGAGGUUCCCAAACUCACCCAGCACAAGAAUGGAACUUGCUAUCUUUCUGGGACUGUUCCAGGGAAGUCCUGGCCAAGCCU
rnacentral:lncRNA from 1 species